UACGUAGGGUGCAAGCGUUAAUCGGAAUUACUGGGCGUAAAGCGUGCGCAGGCGGUUUUGUAAGUCUGACGUGAAAUCCCCGGGCUCAACCUGGGAAUUGCGUUGGAGACUGCAAGGCUAGAAUCUGGCAGAGGGGGGUAGAAUUCCACGUGUAGCAGUGAAAUGCGUAGAGAUGUGGAGGAACACCGAUGGCGAAGGCAGCCCCCUGGGUCAAGAUUGACGCUCAUGCACGAAGGCGUGGGGAGCAAACAGG
rnacentral:rRNA from 1 species